UUUACUUGUUUAUGGGACUCUGAGAGACAAAAUACAGAAGGGUCGGGGGCCGCCGGCAGGCGCCCCAGAGGGCGCCCGCCGAGGCAACGUUCGGUAGGUUCACAGGGGUUUCAGGGAGUCUUGCGAGUCCUGUAAUGAUCCCUCCGCUGGUUCACCAACGGAGA
rnacentral:misc_RNA from 1 species